AGUUUGAUCCUGGCUCAGAACGAACGCUGGCGGCAGGCUUAACACAUGCAAGUCGAACGCCCCGCAAGGGGAGUGGCAGACGGGUGAGUAACGCGUGGGAAUCUACCGUGCCCUGCGGAAUAGCUCCGGGAAACUGGAAUUAAUACCGCAUACGCCCUACGGGGGAAAGAUUUAUCGGGGUAUGAUGAGCCCGCGUUGGAUUAGCUAGUUGGUGGGGUAAAGGCCUACCAAGGCGACGAUCCAUAGCUGGUCUGAGAGGAUGAUCAGCCACAUUGGGACUGAGACACGGCCCAAACUCCUACGGGAGGCAGCAGUGGGGAAUAUUGGACAAUGGGCGAAAGCCUGAUCCAGCCAUGCCGCGUGUGUGAAGAAGGUCUUCGGAUUGUAAAGCACUUUAAGUUGGGAGGAAGGGUUGUAGAUUAAUACUCUGCAAUUUUGACGUUACCGACAGAAUAAGCACCGGCUAACUCUGUGCCAGCAGCCGCGGUAA
rnacentral:rRNA from 1 species